rnacentral:siRNA from 1 species
CGAGUCCUUCUGCUUUGGGUGGCC